rnacentral:rRNA from 1 species
UAGGGAAUAUUGGUAAUCUGGGAAACCGGGAACCUGCAACGCCGCGUGCGCGAUGAAGGCCUUCGGGUUGUAAAGCGCUUUUUGAGAGGAUGAGGAAGGACAGUACUCUUAGAAUAAGCCUCGGCUAACUACGUGCCAGCAGCCGCGGUAAAACGUAGGAGGCGAGCGUUAUCCGGAUUUACUGGGCGUAAAGCGUGUGUAGGCGGUUUGAUAAGUUGGAUGUGAAAGCUCCUGGCUUAACUGGGAGAGGUCGUUCAAAACUAUCAGACUUGAGAGUGGUAGAGGGAGGUGGAAUUCCGCAUGUAGUGGUGAAAUGCGUAGAUAUGCGGAGUAACACCAGUGGCGAAAGCGGCCUCCUUGCACAUUUCUGACGCUGAGACACGAAAGCUAAGGUAAUAAACG